UUAACUAUCUACAACAUCUGUCACCAUAUUGAUCACAAAGGUUGAUGUGGCUGUCAACCUGGCUGGCUAUGCGGGUGUACCCUUCCUCCCUCACUGCCCCACGUACAUCCUUCCCAAAGCUCUGUGCUUGGUUGAAGAGAGCUACCUUCCCUGAUAAAAUGGUUAAGUGAUACAAGUUUUAUAGCAGGCUUCAGCUUCAAAUUGAAAAUCGCUUAAUUAU
rnacentral:sRNA from 1 species